UUGAGUGGACAUUUUUUUCAACGAAGACAUACAAAUGGUCUGAAAGCAUAUGAAAAGGGACUUAAUAUCACUAAUCAUUACAGAAAUUCAAAUCAAAACCACAAUUACAUGUCACCUCGUACAUGCAAGGAUGGGUACUAUCGAAAGAUUAGUGUUAGGGUAUAGAGAAAAAGGAAGCUUUGUGUACUGUUGGUGGAAAUGUACAUUUGUACAGCCAUUGUGAUGUGGAGGUUCCUCAAAAAAAAAAAAAACCAUGUGAUCCAACAGUCUCACCCCUGGGUAUAUGCAUAUAUGCCCAAAGGCAGUGAUCAGUAUUUCAAAGAGAUUAUCUGCCACUCACAUGUUCAUUACAGCAUUAUUCACAAUAGUCAAAAUAUGGAAACUUAGCAGCCAUCAAUGAAUGAAUAAAGAAAAUGUGAUGUAUAUUUAAACAACAGAAUAUUACUCAGCCAUAAAAAGGAAAUCCUGACAUUUGUCACAACAUAAAUAAACGGGGUGGACACUAUAAGGCAGACAUAGGCAAAUACUUCAUGAACCCACUUAAUUGUGGAAUCUUAAAAACUCAAACUCAGAGGUAGAGGGAGGAACGGUGGUUACUAGAGUCCAGAAGGUAGGGAAAAUGGAGAAAUGUUGGUCAAAGGUUAAAAACCAAGCUGUAAGGUGAACAAGUUCUGAAGAUUUAAUGUACAGCAUGGGUCAUCAAUGUGUUAAUCUGACUGGUAACCAUUACAGAAUGUAUAUAUACAUCAAAACAUAACAUUGUACGUCAUGAACAUACAAUCUUUGUGAACUAUUUUAAAAUAAAAAAAGGGAUGUUUACUGAAUCUAUGCCUGUUGGAUCUUUGAGUUACUGAGAAGUAUUGAAGUCUUCAGUUAAUUGUGAAUUUGUCUGUCUCACCGUGCAGUUGUGUGUUCUUGCAUGACAUAUUUUGACAAUCUGUUAGGUGCAUAUAUUUUAAAUUAUGUCAUUUCUAUUAUUGGGUCUUAAUUUCUUUUCUUCUUGAAAUAUCUGGUUAUUCAAUCCAGUGUAUAUUUUAUACCAGGCAUUGUUGUUUUCCUUUCUAGUAGCUCAAAUUGUGUCUUUAGUUUUUAAUUUUGUUUUCAGACAGGGUCUCUCCCUGUCACCCAGGCUGGAGUUCAGUGGUGUUAUCUUGGGUCACUGAAACUGCUGCCUCCCAAGCAAAUGAUCCUCCCACCUCAGCCUCCUGACUAGCUGGGACCACAAGUGCACACUACCAUGCUCAGUUUUCCAUGGCCGUGAGACAAUGACACCGCUUCAGCGUGAACUCUCAUGAACUGAGUCUAGAUCCCCAGUGCUGUCCGUCUCACCUGUCCUCCUCUACACGUAUCUGGGAUAUGUCACGGCUUGGUGGUCUUUGAAGAUGUGGCUGUGAACUUCAUCCAGGAGGAGUGGGCUUUGCUGGAUUUUUCCAUGAAGAAUCUGUAGAGAUGUGAUGAGGGAAGCCAUCAGCACCUGUCUUCUAUAGCUGCAGUCCAAGAGGCCAACUGGAACAUCAACAUGAGACACUAAUCCAGCUGACUGGACACAAUGGGAAAAACUGGUUAUCUUACCAAGGCUUUGCCUGGAAUGGUGUGCCUUCCUUCAAGGAAUCAAAUUUAACUUAUGGAGCCAAUAAAGCCCUUGGAAAGCUGGCCUCAGAUUUUGUGUACACAGUCCCUGUACAGGGUUUCUGAUCUGUGGUAAGUAAAGAAUGUCACCUUUUGACAGGCCAGGAGUCCCAAGUUAUCUUGGAACCUCAAGAGGAGAGGAAUUCACCCAACUCAUAGGUAUUCAAUGGUACAAAUCCAUGGCUGGGCUUGCCUUUAAAAAGGUCUUAUCUCAGAUUCCUUCUACGAAACAAAGUUCCAUCAAAGCCAAUUUAAAGGGCCUAUGUAACAAAUAAUUAUUCUUGCUCCACUGUAUGCAAAUAACUAAGCCAAGUAUAAUAAAGAAACUCAGUCCUACUAGCAUGAUUUGUCUUUUAAUGAAAAUAGUAAACUUGAGAGAGAAAAUUAUGCUUCAAAAACGAUAGCACACCUGUUGUUAAAUUCUAGUGUUGCCCAAUGUUUUUCAAAUCUUGCUAUUUUCUGUUUAAAUUAAAUUCUAAUUUUUCUGGCUACAAGUUUCCAAAAUAGCUGUGCUUUCUAAAAGCCCUAUAAACUGAAAACUUGAUGUUUCAGCAGGUUCUGCCUCUAAGCCCCCUGACUCUCACAGGAGGAAAUAAAUAGCAAAUUUUAAGCUAAAAAUCAUAAAAAAAUAAGUAACCAAGUGAGAAUUACUCAUCCUAUUCAGUCUCACCCCUAUCUCAUCAAAUACUUUUAUCGUUCCUACCUCUGCUUUUAAGUCAAAUAUUAACUUUUUAAUGAAAAUUAUUUACUAUGCCACCCUUGUGGGAAUUGCUUUACUCACUCUACUAUUUGCAGUAGGACUAUAUACUGUAGCACCCUCAGGGUAAAAUAUCAGACAUAGAAUCUCAAUUACUAUAGCAUUUUGCUCAAUUAUUAUCCUCAUAGCAGGAAUAAUGGUUGCUAGCAGAAAAUAACACAUGGGCCUUUCCAAACCAGCACCUCUGCUCUCAUUAGGUAAGGAAUGUUGUUUCUAUAUCAGCCAAUCGGACCUAGUAAAAAGUGCUAUAAAAAAAAGUUACAGAAAAAGCUAAAAAAGCUAAGGAGUACCAAAACAAGCAAAUAGAUUCUUGGUUUGGGAACAAAAUCAUAGCAUGGGUCAUCCCAUUCCUGGGCCCUCUCCUAAUAAUAUGCCUAAUUAUGGGACUACUGUUCUUACCCUGCCUAAUUAACCUUUUUCAAAGACUUUUUAAACUGACAGGAUCAUGGCCAUUUCACAGACAACUACCCAAAAACAUCUACAGACAGCACUGCUCCUAUAGUCAACCCGAAACCAGGGAACUCUCCAUCCCCUCAUCAGCAGGAAGUAGCCAGAAAGAACAUGCCGCCCCUCAUCCUUUUUAUAACUAUAAGGUCUGGAUUGACGGCAGGAGCAUCACCAUCGUGGAUAAGCACCUCAUUUUAAAAUUCACCUUAAUCAAAAACUGCCUAAAUCCAAAGGGCAUCAGCCUAAUGGCUAAGGUCAGCAUGACCAUAAACCACACAUAACAUCUCCAACCAAAAACAUCCCAGACACCUCCCACAGAGACAUGCAACCUCGGGAUAACCCCUGUCUUGCUAGAAAGAUGUCACCCCCAAGAUAACUGCCUCUCUGCCCAGAACAUUCCAACCCCACCAUAAACCUCUCCCUCACACAGAAACAUUCUAAGCUUGUAAUAAGCUCCCUCACCCUAAAACCAAUAUAUGCUCUUAGUCUGCAAGGAAAAGUGCUCCUGACUGAAAUCAGCCAGAAGCCUCUCUCAGGUCUUUUCUAUAAUAAACCUGUCUUUGACUAUCAAGCAGUGUUUGGUG